rnacentral:rRNA from 1 species
GAUGAACGCUGGCGGCGUGCCUAAUACAUGCAAGUCGAGCGAACGGACGAGAAGCUUGCUUCUCUGAUGUUAGCGGCGGACGGGUGAGUAACACGUGGAUAACCUACCUAUAAGACUGGGAUAACUUCGGGAAACCGGAGCUAAUACCGGAUAAUAUUUUGAACCGCAUGGUCCAAAAGUGAAAGACGGUCUUGCUGUCACUUAUAGAUGGAUCCGCGCUGCAUUAGCUAGUUGGUAAGGUAACGGCUUACCAAGGCAACGAUGCAUAGCCGACCUGAGAGGGUGAUCGGCCACACUGGAACUGAAACACGGUCCAGACUCCUACGGGAGGCAGCAGUAGGGAAUCUUCCGCAAUGGGCGGAAGCCUGACGGAGCAACGCCGCGUGAGUGGUGAAGGUCUUCGGAUCGUAAAACUCUGUUAUUAGGGAAGAACAUAUGUGUAAGUAACUGUGCACAUCUUGACGGUACCUAAUCAGAAAGCCACGGCUAACUACGUG